UACGUAGGCAGCGAGCGUUGUUCGGAGUUACUGGGCGUAAAGGGUGUGUAGGCGGUUCUUUUAAGUUUGGUGUGAAAUCUCCCGGCUCAACUGGGAGGGUGCGCCGAAUACUGAGGGACUAGAGUGCGGGAGAGGAAAGUGGAAUUCCUGGUGUAGCGGUGAAAUGCGUAGAUAUCAGGAGGAACACCGGUGGCGAAGGCGGCAUCCUGGACCGGUAUUGACGCUGAGGCGCGAAAGCCAGGGGAGCAAACGGG
rnacentral:rRNA from 1 species